rnacentral:tRNA from 1 species
GGGGUUGUGGCUCAGAGGUAGAGCGCUCGCCUAGCAUGUGUGAGGCCCUGGGUUCAAUCCUCAGCACCA